CCUACGGGUGGCAGCAGUAGGGAAUAUUGCUCAAUGGGGGAAACCCUGAAGCAGCAACGCCGCGUGGAGGAUGAAGGUUUUAGGAUUGUAAACUCCUUUUGUUAGAGAAGAUAAUGACGGUAUCUAACGAAUAAGCACCGGCUAACUCCGUGCCAGCAGCCGCGGUAAUACGGAGGGUGCAAGCGUUACUCGGAAACACUGGGCGGAAAGAGCGCGGAGGCGGGAUAGCAAGUCAGAUGUGAAAUCCUAUGGCUUAACCAUAGAACUGCCUUUGAAACUGUUAUUCUAGCGUAUGGGAGAGGUAGGUUGAAUUCUUGGUGUAGGGGUAAAGUCCGUAGAGAUCAAGAGGAAUACUCAUUGCGAAGGCGACCUGCUAGAACAUAACUGACGCUGAUGCGCGAAAGCGUGGGGAGCAAACAGGAUUAGAUACCCGAGUAGUC
rnacentral:rRNA from 1 species